AAAUAUCCCACAUCACAUGCUGGCUAAAUGACAGCCUUAUGGACUCAGAGGAAUGGAUGCCUAGGAAGGAGAAGCCUCUACCAACACCAUUCUGGCCUAUAGUGAUG
rnacentral:lncRNA from 1 species